rnacentral:rRNA from 1 species
ACGCUGGCGGCAUGCCUAACACAUGCAAGUCGAACGAAGCCUUCGGGUUUAGUGGCGCACGGGUGCGUAACGCGUGGGAAUCUGCCCCUUGGUUCGGAAUAACAGUUGGAAACGACUGCUAAUACCGGAUGAUGACGUAAGUCCAAAGAUUUAUCGCCGAGGGAUGAGCCCGCGUAGGAUUAGGUAGUUGGUGUGGUAAAGGCGCACCAAGCCGACGAUCCUUAGCUGGUCUGAGAGGAUGAUCAGCCACACUGGGACUGAGACACGGCCCAGACUCCUACGGGAGGCAGCAGUGGGGAAUAUUGGACAAUGGGCGAAAGCCUGAUCCAGCAAUGCCGCGUGAGUGAUGAAGGCCUUAGGGUUGUAAAGCUCUUUUACCCGGGAUGAUAAUGACAGUACCGGGAGAAUAAGCUCCGGCUAACUCCGUGCCAGCAGCCGCGGUAAUACGGAGGGAGCUAGCGUUAUUCGGAAUUACUGGGCGUAAAGCGCACGUAGGCGGCUUUGUAAGUAAGAGGUGAAAGCCCAGAGCUCAACUCUGGAAUUGCCUUUUAGACUGCAUCGCUUGAAUCAUGGAGAGGUCAGUGGAAUUCCGAGUGUAGAGGUGAAAUUCGUAGAUAUUCGGAAGAACACCAGUGGCGAAGGCGGCUGACUGGACAUGUAUUGACGCUGAGGUGCGAAAGCGUGGGGAGCAAAC